rfam:Papio anubis isolate 1X1155 chromosome 7, whole genome shotgun sequence.
CCUUCGAUAGCUCAGCUGGUAGAGCGGAGGACUGUAGUACUUACCGUACCGUUAUCCUUAGGUCGCUGGUUCGAUUCCGGCUCGAAGGA